rnacentral:rRNA from 1 species
UACGUAGGCAGCAAGCGUUGUUCGGAAUUACUGGGCGUAAAGAGUGCGUAGGCGGUGCCUUAAGUCUGCUGUGAAAUCUCCCGGCUUAACUGGGAGGGUGCGGUGGAUACUGAGGUGCUUGAGUGUGGGAAAGGUAAGCGGAAUUCCUGGUGUAGCGGUGAAAUGCGUAGAUAUCAGGAGGAACGCCGGUGGUGUAGACGGCUUACUGGACCAUAACUGACGCUGAGGCACGAAAGCGUGGGUAGCAAACAGG